GCCUCAUAGUAUAUAGACCUGGCAUCAGGAUUAUAUUAAAGGUUACGGUACAAGAUGAGUAUGCGUCCUAUUAGCUAGAUGGUGUGGUAACGGCAUACCAUGGCAACGAUAGGUAGGGGCCCUGAGAGGGGGAUCCCCCACACUGGUACUGAGACACGGACCAGACUCCUACGGGAGGCAGCAGUGAGGAAUAUUGGGCAAUGGAGGCAACUCUGACCCAGCCAUGCCGCGUGCAGGAAGACUGCCCUAUGGGUUGUAAACUGCUUUUAUACAGGAAGAAACAGCUUUACGUGUAGAGCCUUGACGGUACUGUAAGAAUAAGGAUCGGCUAACUCCGUGCCAGCAGCCGCGGUAAUACGGAGGAUCCAAGCGUUAUCCGGAAUCAUUGGGUUUAAAGGGUCCGUAGGUGGAUUAAUAAGUCAGAGGUGAAAUCCUGCAGCUCAACUGUAGAACUGCCUUUGAUACUGUUAAUCUUGAGUCAUUAUGAAGUGGUUAGAAUGUGUAGUGUAG
rnacentral:rRNA from 1 species